rnacentral:lncRNA from 1 species
ACUCCUAUGCUUUCCUAGGCUACUUCUGUAUUGACCUUAAUUGCUCUGUAAGUUGCCUUAAUUUAUUAUUUCUUCUUUUGUUAGAAAACCAAGAGAGAAGCCUGUGGCUCCAGGAAGACUGACAUUUUGAAGACUUCCUCCCACCACGGACUAUUUUGUUAGCUGCUUUAUGCCAAAGAAGAUUCCAUACUCAUUGGAGAGAAAUGAGACAACGUGAAGGCACAUUGAAGAAUCAGGAGGAAGCAGGGGGGAAGAGGAGGACUCUGAAGGAGGCAAUAAGAUGAAGUUGUUGAUGAACAAUAUUCCUCUUCUUGUACUUGAGGAAGAAAAAACACAGGGAAAGCCAAGAGCGAUCAUGGGACUACUCUGUUUAGGCAGGUGGCAUUUCCGUAAAUAAAAGAGAAACCAUUUCCAGGCAGGCACCCAUCAGAAAAUUAAAGAACCAGCAACGGGCAGCCAGGUAGGAUGAGCUUCAGAGAUGAUUGGAAGAUGGAGUCAUAAAUUGCAAGCUGAUGUUGACCGAGUUGUUAUAUUAAUGUGAAAAAAAAUUAAUCAUUACACUAUAACUAGAUGACAUUAAU